GCCAGACUCCUACGGGAGGCAGCAGUGGGGGAUAUUGCACAAUGGGGGGAACCCUGAUGCGGCGACGCCGCGUGGGUGAAGGAGCGUUUCGGCGCGUAAAGCCCUAUCGGCAGGGAAGAAGGAGGACGGUACCUGACUAAGAAGCCCCGGCUAACUACGUGCCAGCAGCCGCGGUAAUACGUAGGGGGCAAGCGUUAUCCGGAUUUACUGGGUGUAAAGGGGGCGCAGACGGCAGCGCAAGCCAGGAGUGAAAGCCCGGGGCCCAACCCCGGGACUGCUCUUGGAACUGCGCGGCUGGAGUGCAGGAGGGGCAGGCGGAAUUCCUGGUGUAGCGGUGAAAUGCGUAGAUAUCAGGAGGAACACCGGUGGCGAAGGCGGCCUGCUGGACUGUAACUGACGUUGAGGCUCGAAAGCGUGGGGAGCAAACAGGAUUAGAUACCCCAGUAU
rnacentral:rRNA from 1 species